GCCGUCGAUGACCUCCGUAGUGAACUCGUCGUUCCACGUGGGGCUGUUGGUCUUCUGCUUGGUGGAGGUCUGACCCACGCAACCAGUCUGGUUGAGGAUGAAUCGCCAGUCACCAGCCUAACCUCCCCCUCCCGAUUCCUCCAUGGAUUCUUCAAAGACUCAAGCUCCAAAAAUGAUUAUAGACCGACACUGGCUAUUGUACUCGGAGACUAUAGACUGCCUAUUGCAGUAGAGGAGCAUGUUGGUGUCUCCGGCCGAACGUCACGAACAGCCCAACAAACCAAAGACAAUCUGUUAGUCCUGAAUGCACCGUCCCUGUCCCCUCCCCGGGGUCCUUCUGGAUGCUGCCCAGCAUCAAACCAUCGGCUCAGUCCCUGGGCCGGGCCUCCCACCCAGCCCUGGUGCAUUCUGGGUUAAUGUGGGUGGUGGGAGGCUACUCCUUCAACUACUCUAAUUACCACAUGAUGCUCAACUACAACCCGGACUCCAGCGCGUGGGACGUAGUGCCAGCCAGCAGCGGACCCUUUUACAGAUAUGGACACUCUCUGGCUCUCUACCAGGAUUGCAUCUAUAUGUUCGAUGGAAAGCUGGAGACAGGCCCUGCUAACAUUACAGAUGAGUUGUGGUUGUUCAACAUCCCCACUCGUAGCUGGUUGCCACAGAAACCAGCUUCAGCACCUCUUUACGCCCUGGAGGGCCACACGGCUCACGUGGUGAUCCUGCCCAACGGCAACCCGGUGAUGUUGGUCUUUUUCAGCUACUCACCCAUCUACAGCUACAUCAACAAAGUUCAGGAGUACAACAUCACACCAUGUACGUCUUCGGAGGCUUUUCAGGUGUGCUUCUGAAUGACGUGCUGGCCUACUACCCGCCGUCCUGCCAAGCCUUUUUGUCCCCAACUCUGUGUUUGGCGGCUGGGUCAGGAGUUCGCUGCCUCUGGGUGAAAAGCAGAUGUCUCCCAUGGGAGUCCAAACAGUACGAUCACAUUGUCCCGGCUUCUUUCUGCCCUGCACGACCUGGUGCUCAGGCCCCUGGGGAAUCUUUUAGCCUGAACACCCUGCAGAGGAAGAGACAGAGGUCGCCAUCAGUUCCAGCUGAGAUGCCACUGCAUAAAACACACAAUCAAUAAAAUACUUCAAUCUGUUUCUAUUAGUUUCAUUUAUCAUUCAACAUGCAUUUCUUUUGUCAUUUAACACACAUUUUAAGUGUUGUACAGCCAAAGUAAUGAAGACCUUCAUUAAGUAAUGAAGACCUUCAUUACACUGCGCCAGCUGCACAGCAACACCCGGGGCUGCCAUGGUGCGAGGACAGGAAGUGUAUCUCUGCCUCGAGCAACUGCACCGUGGUCAGUUCACACAGGUUAUUUGUUAAAAGUUUUAAAAACAGUACAUCCUGCUGUACUUUCUGAUAGUUGUGCUGGAAGAAAUAUGAGAAAAUAAUGGAAGUUAAAAAUGCCUUAUGUGUUCAUGUGUGUUCGUGUUCAGCAUUUCACUCAUUCGUUCUACCAGUUUCUCUGGUUUUAAUCUGAACAAUUCUUUGUCUUUCUGUGUGCCUCUGUUGUUUUUCUCUCUCUGUGUAUGCUUGGCUGUAUCUGAAUAUGAAACCGUGAAUGUUUCUGAUUUUGUGUGUGUGUGUGUGUGUGUGUGUAGCUGACUGGAGCUGGCCCAGCAGCAUGGCGGCGCUCUGUCUCUGUCUGCACCUCCAUUCAUGUUGUCUGAACAUCAGCUCAGCUUGUGGAAGCACAGCACGCGAAGGAGGGGACAUGUGUGUAUUAUUUUACAAUACAGAGAAUAUUUCCUUUUCUGUCCAGCUGCAGCCUGUUUUACAUCAUUUGAGAUUAUAUGGAGAUUAGUGGUAUUCCAUUUUCUGGAAACACUGAUUUAAUACAAGAAUGAAUAUUGUAAUUUAGUCAUGAAUUAUGCUUAAAUGGAAAACAUUUUAGUAAACAAACAAAAAAUAUUGAAAGCUGAAAUCUGGCAAAAUUAUGACUGGCAUUACGGAAAUAAAAAAAAUCUAUUUAAAUCAAAUGAAAUUAUUACUUAACUCAAAUAAUAUUGUUAUGACAUUGAAAGACACAGGACUAUGAGGGGCCGUUUAGGACAAAAUCUAUGUUUCGUCUCUCACACAAGACUAAAGACUCAUGCACGCGCACACAAAAUAUGAAAAUUGCACGUAUAUACGAGUAAAAUGUCACACGCAUACAAUUUUUCUCUCGCAUGCAUACACAAAAUACUAAAAUUGUCAAUUGUCGUGAAACCUGGUAUAAGCAUGUGAUAUCUGUCCAGGUACACGCAGAAAACAGAAUAAAGGCCUGAGAAAUAACAGUAAACCUUGUAUUUAAUGAUG